GAUGAACGCUGGCGGCGUGCUUAACACAUGCAAGUCGAACGAAGCGAUCAGGAGGAAAUUUUCGGAUGGAAUCCGGAUUGACUGAGUGGCGGACGGGUGAGUAACGCGUGGGUAACCUGCCUCAUACAGGGGGAUAACAGUUAGAAAUGACUGCUAAUACCGCAUAAGCGCACGGGGAUGCAUAUUCUUGUGUGAAAAACUCAGGUGGUAUGAGAUGGACCCGCGUCUGAUUAGCUAGUUGGUGAGGUAACGGCUCACCAAGGCGACGAUCAGUAGCCGACCUGAGAGGGUGACCGGCCACAUUGGGACUGAGACACGGCCCAA
rnacentral:rRNA from 1 species